CACACGACUCUCGGCAACGGAUAUCUCGGCUCUCGCAUCGAUGAAGAACGUAGUGAAAUGCGAUACCUGGUGUGAAUUGCAAAAUCCYGCGAACCAUCGAGUCUUUGAACGCAAGUUGCGCCCGAGGCCAUUCGGCUGAGGGCACGCCUGCCUGGGCGUCACGC
rnacentral:rRNA from 1 species